rnacentral:lncRNA from 1 species
AUGAGGCGGCCUCCCAGAAGUCAGUCAGACCCACCAUCGCCUCAUUUUCUCUCAGCUCAAGUUCCCUCAUGUGGUUUGAGUCAAGGAGCUAAUGAGCAGCGAGAGAGCAGCUCGGGCCUGAAGCAGGAGGCAGAAAGGAGAGGAAGAAGGGAGAUGCUGGGCUCCCUCGAGGCGGAGGAGACGGAGGCCGCCGCGCUGCUUGUUGGACCCCACGGAGGUGCCCUAUCUUUGUGGAUGAACUUGAGCCAAUCCUUGGUUCCCAGGGGCUCCCAGGGGCAGGAAACCCACCUGAAGUUGAAGGCUCCAGUAAGGUAAGCACUAUAGGUUUGACAGGUGAUAUUGCUCCCACUUUCAGAUGAUGACAUUCAGGACAGAGGGGUUCUUUGGUCAGCAAGAGUCAGUGCCAAUGAUGAUAAGUGAUGUUCUUGUGAUGGGUACUAUGCGGGCAUUGUUCUCAGCAUCCUUUUUUUUUUUUCUUUCCAAUUUUAUUGGCAUAUAGCAUGGUAUCAGCCCAAGGUGUAAAGCAUAAUGCUUUGGUACCUAUAUAUAGUUGCUUUUCUUAUGAUGAGAACUUUUAAGGAUUUACUCUCUUAAUAACUUUCAAAUAUACAAUAGAGUAUUAUUAACUCUAGUUACCGUGCCAUACAUUACAUCUCUAGAAAUUGUUAUAAUGAAGUUUAUAACUUUUGACCAUCUUCACUCUUUUUUCUCCUCCCUCACCUCUGCCUCUGCCAACCCCCAAACUGUUCUCUGUAUCUGUGAAUUUGGUUUUUUAGAUUCCACAUAUAAGUGAGAUCAUACAGUAUUUUGUCUUUUUCUGUUUUCUUAUUUCAUGUAGUACAACAACCUCCAGGUUUAUCUGUAUCGUCACAAAUGGCAGAAUUUUGUUCUUUUUUAUGGCUGAAUAAUAUUCCACUCUAUACAAAUACCAUAUCUUCUUUAUCCAUUCACCUGUCGAUGGACACUUAGGUUGUUUGUAUGUCUUGGCUGUGCUGCUAUAAAUGUGGGGGUGCAGAUAUCUUUUUGAGACAGUGAUUUCAUUUCCUUGUGCUCAGCAUCUUAUUUGAAUUAUGUCCUCCCUGUGAUGUUGGCACUUGAAUGAUCCCCAUUUUAUAGCUAGGUUAACUGAGACAAGAGAGUUUAAGUUACCUGUUUAAGGUUACAAAGCAUAUGUGAUGGUGCUGGAAUUCAAUUCCAGGUAGUCUGACAUCAGAGCAGGUAUCUGACCACCAUGCUUCUUUGAGUUCAACACCAGCCAGGUCUUCUGAUUCUAAGCCCACCCUUCUUUCCAAUACAUUGUAACAGUCAGUUCUUGGCAUACAAAUGUCAAAUAUCAAGCCAAUAAUUUCGUAUGUAAGGAUUUCAAAGGUGUACCUCUGGGGAGCCUAUGAUCUCAGCCACACUGUAGGAAAUAAAUUGCUGGGGUUUAGUAUCUUCAAUUCAAAUCACAAACACAGGAUUAGCAGUGGGGCAGAAGUAUUAGUAAAAAUUCAUCUUAUUAAAUGAACAUCUGUUUCCUGGAAUUUGACAGCAUUCCCAAACACACAUGGCUAGGCUGGGAUGGCUCAACUGAGAAAGUUUAAGUUUAUUUUCUAAUGAGAAUUUCUUAGUUAUAAAAACUAUAGAGAUGAAGUCAGUGGACAAGCAGUCUACAUUUUAGUACCCCUAAAAAAAGAAAGCAUUAUUUUAUCUGCCCGACUCUAGAGCCAUUGUAUCGUUCCCCAGCCAAUAAGACACAGAUAGAUUGGGCAAGGAUAUCUAAGGCAUUUAGUGGAUAAAAGGCAGAGAAGUGGGCAUGGUCCAGACUAUUAGAAAAUGCCACUACCUUUCUUCUGCUUUUGGGAUUGGGGUUGAAUCCCACAGUAGACUGACUGCAAAAAAAUGUCUGCAGCUCUUCCAGCACUUGCAGUGUGACUCUGCCAACCAUCAGGAGAUGGAGUCUAUUUCCCCACCCCUUCAAUCUGGGGGCUGCCUUCUGACUUACUUGCCAGUAGAAUGUGACAGAGAGAUGCUAUAAUUAGGGUCUUGCAUGCUUCUUCUCUCUUGUUCCUCUGCCUUUACCACGAGGACAAUUCUGAACUAGGCUGCUGGGGGAUGAGACUCUGGAGCAGAGCUGAGUCACCCGAGAUCAGCCAUCGCCAGAACACUCUCCACCCAGUGGCAGAUACAUGAGCAAGCCCAGCUGACAUCAUCUGAGCCCAUCCCAGAUCAGCGUAGUUAUUCUGCCAGUUCCUAAAUCCAUGAGAAGUCGUAAAUGGUUGUGGUUUUAAGCCACUUACUAUCGGGCUUAUUUGUUAUGCAGCAUUAUUAUGGCAACAGAUAAUUGAUAAAAGCACUAAAAGCAAAUCUCAUCAGUGACAGGACAUCUGUUCUCCAUCACACUCCCUUUCCUGCGUCCCUCCUUGCUUGUUUGGCAUUUGCUUCCAUUAGUGGCUGCAGCCCCAGCCUCACCCAGGUCCAUAGAAAAUGUGAAGUCAGGCCAUGAGUUACCUAUGUGAGAAAGGUGGCCAAUGCUUAUGUCACACACUCGUGCUCCCUCAGCCUAGAAAACCAAGUCCCCACUGUGGAAGACGUCCAGACCUUCCUCCCUGGUUCCCAUUAUGCUCUUACUCUCAUCCG